CCUACGGGCGGCUGCAGUGGGGAAUAUUGCACAAUGGGCGCAAGCCUGAUGCAGCCAUGCCGCGUGUGUGAAGAGGGCCUUCGGGUUGUAAAGCACUUUCAGCGGGGAGGAAGGCGGUGAGGUUAAUAACCUCAUCGAUUGACGUUACCCGCAGAAGAAGCACCGGCUAACUCCGUGCCAGCAGCCGCGGUAAUACGGAGGGUGCAAGCGUUAAUCGGAAUUACUGGGCGUAAAGCGCACGCAGGCGGUCUGUCAAGUCGGAUGUGAAAUCCCCGGGCUCAACCUGGGAACUGCAUUCGAAACUGGCAGGCUAGAGUCUUGUAGAGGGGGGUAGAAGUCCAGGUGUAGCGGUGAAAUGCGUAGAGAUCUGGAGGAAUACCGGUGGCGAAGGCGGCCCCCUGGACAAAGACUGACGCUCAGGUGCGAAAGCGUGGGGAGCAAACAGGAUUAGAUACCCCGGUAGUC
rnacentral:rRNA from 1 species